GGAAGAAUGAAAAAAAGAAAGGAAAAAAAGAAAGGAAAAAAAAAACCGGAUAUGGAACCAUCCUGUAUCCAUAUUCCUUCAUACGAUCCAAAAUUUCUUUU
rnacentral:ribozyme from 17 species